GAUGAACGCUGGCGGCGUGCUUAACACAUGCAAGUCGAACGAAGCAUUUGCGACAGAUUUUUUCGGGAUGAAGUUGCUUAUGACUGAGUGGCGGACGGGUGAGUAACGCGUGGGUAACCUGCCUUGUACUGGGGGAUAGCAGCUGGAAACGGCUGGUAAUACCGCAUAAGCGCACAAUGUUGCAUGACAUGGUGUGAAAAACUCCGGUGGUAUAAGAUGGACCCGCGUCUGAUUAGCUAGUUGGUGAGAUAACAGCCCACCAAGGCGACGAUCAGUAGCCGACCUGAGAGGGUGACCGGCCACAUUGGGACUGAGACACGGCCCAGACUCCUACGGGAGGCAGCAGUGGGGAAUAUUGCACAAUGGAGGAAACUCUGAUGCAGCGACGCCGCGUGAGUGAAGAAGUAAUUCGUUAUGUAAAGCUCUAUCAGCAGGGAAGAUAGUGACGGUACCUGACUAAGAAGCUCCGGCUAAAUACGUG
rnacentral:rRNA from 1 species